rnacentral:rRNA from 1 species
ACUGCGAAUGGCUCAUUAUAUAAGUUAUCGUUUAUUUGAUAGUACCUUACUACUUGGAUAACCGUGGUAAUUCUAGAGCUAAUACAUGCUAAAAAUCCCGACUUCGGAAGGGAUGUAUUUAUUAGAUUAAAAACCAAUGCCCUCUGGGCUCUUUGGUGAUUCAUGAUAACUUCUCGAAUCGCACGGCCUUGCGCCGGCGAUGGUUCAUUCAAAUUUCUUCCCUAUCAACUUUCGAUGUUUGGGUAUUGGCCAAACAUGGUUGCAACGGGUAACGGAGGGUUAGGGCUCGACCCCGGAGAAGGAGCCUGAGAAACGGCUACUACAUCCAAGGAAGGCAGCAGGCGCGCAAAUUACCCAAUCCCGACACGGGGAGGUAGUGACAAUAAAUACUGAUACAGGGCUCUUUUGGGUCUUGUAAUUGGAAUGAGUACAAUUUAAAUCCCUUAACGAGGAACAAUUGGAGGGCAAGUCUGGUGCCAGCAGCCGCGGUAAUUCCAGCUCCAAUAGCGUAUAUUAAAGUUGUUGUGGUUAAAAAGCUCGUAGUUGAACCUUGGGCCUGGCUGGCCGGUCCGCCUCACCGCGUGUACUGGUCCGGCCGGGCCUUUCCCUCUGUGGAACCUCAUGCCCUUCACUGGGUGUGACGGGGAAACAGGACUUUUACUUUGAAAAAAUUAGAGUGCUCCAGGCAGGCCUAUGCUCGAAUACAUU